rfam:Microcoleus chthonoplastes PCC 7420 scf_1103659003791 genomic scaffold, whole genome shotgun sequence.
GUCAACAACUCACCGCUAAGUUCUAUCGAACUAUAGCGGGAGCUUGUAAAAACAGGCUCUAGUUGACCAGACUAAGUUCUACGAGAACUACGUUAUUUAGCUCAUGACACCCUAAGAUGCGUGCCAGUUUUAGGCUCUGUCGUACAGUUUUAAACAGGUGUAGAGAGUUAAGCCAGUGAGCUGUACCUAACAAGGCUAGAUAACAUUGUCGAGGCUAACUUUAC